GGCAGCGACCCUAGAUAGUGGUCAGGAGAGUGUGAGGGUUUACGAAAGUGUUUACUGAUCGAUCCAAAUAAAAGUGAAAUGUGUGGUCGGGUGCGGUGGCCCACCUCUGUAAUCCCAGCACUUUGGAAGGCCGAGGCGGGCGGAUCACCUGAGAUCAGGAGUUCGAGACCAGCCUGGCCAACAUGGCGAAACCCCGUCUCAAUUGAAAAUACAAACAUUAGCCGGGCAUGGUGGCAGACGCCUGUAAUCCCAGCUACUCGGGAGGCUGAGGAAGGAAAAUCGCUGGAACCCGGGAGGCGGAGGCUGCAGUGAGCCGAGAUCGCGCCAUUGCACUCCAGCCUGGGCGACAAGAGCGAAACUCCGUCUCAAAAAAAAAGAGAAGAAAAAGUGAAAUGUGGAUGUAACAACGCACUUUUAAAAAAUAGUCUAAACAUCUGAGGAAUGUGUCUGUGUUUGCAGCGUCCAGCCAGCACAGAGAUUGCUCUCAAGGGAUGUAGGAACGACUGAUUGAACGUGAACUGCGGUCAUUAAAUCUUUUAUGUCUGUGUUAAUGUCUACAAAUAAGCCUUAAUUUCUGUAGUUGCUGCAUAUCUCACACGGCUCCUGGCAAACUGAAGAGUGUUUCAUGAAUUCAGGACUUCAUUGUGUUUGCUGUGAAUCAGUUUGUUUUGUACUGACGAUGAUGUUGGCUAACUCCCUGAUAACCAGUACUUAUUUGAAAUAAUGUUCUCGGGAUUAUUUUAAGCACUGUCUGCCUUCCAAUCCAUGCUCCACACUGCGGCCGCCACCACCUCCUCUGAAGAGAAGAAUAUGUGGUUCUGGCUCAUGAAUCAUGUAAUGAACCCAGCCGAGACGCUGUUGGACACAAGUCUCCUCCACUCCUCUUCAGACAUCAGAUGAGUUUUCGGUACUUGUUUGGAAAGUUCUCUGGGUAACAUAACAUGCCGGUACUUGUAGUGCUCCUCGAAGUACUUUUCCGGGUAAUAGAUCUGCUGUGGGCCAUCCUGCUGGCACGCUGCAGGAAAUGAAAGGCGAGCGCUAAGAGGGGAAAUGAAAGAGAGUGCGAAGAGGGGAAAUGAAAGAGAGCGCGAAGAGGGGAAAUGAAAGAGAGUGCGAAGAGGGGGUGCAGAAGGCAACAUGUCCCCGUCCGGCCAAGGCAACGAUUGAUUUGCGAGAGACUAACCGGAUCCCGCAUCUCUUGUGGGUCCCCAUAGACACAUAGCAGAUGAAGCAAUCAGACAGGAUUUUUAUGCUCAGAGAGCUAAUAUGAGACCUGUCCCCAGUGGAGAUGGGCACGUGUCCAGAGAGGGGCUUCAGCACUGUGCUCCCCCCCCUUCCCCAAUGCCUGUCCACAUGGGAAAACGUAAAGGCAGAAAAGCUAACCAGCUGAAUAAUGGUGAGGAGACGACCUUUUCACUAGGGAAACUUGUAAAUGCUUUGUGCACAAACCCAGGGCUCACGGAGGUAUUAACCCAGGCACUAUCAUUUAGUUUGCCAGGGUUAUACGGAGAGCACAAAAGCUGCACCUCAGCAGUUGUCACUGACAUUGAACACACGGGAAUGGGACUCCCUGCAGUUCUAUACCACCAAACCUCACAUCUCACACUAAUGUCAGGGCAACCAGUGCGUGACUUGGCGGGCACCUUCGGAGGGAAGAAAAGCCCUCAGCAUCCUCAUAGCCCAGCUUCCUCACAGCCCAGCUUCAUGGACCACAGAUUUCUUUAACAUAGCAUAAGCAAGUGGAUGAUUGUUCUAGAUUGUCACUAGUGUUAUGUCAAACCAUAUCACUGAAGUCCAUUGAAAGCUCUCUUUCUAGCAACAAACACACAGGAAAAACAUUUGCAGCUCUUGUUGCCUUUGGAUAUAUGCAUUCCCAGAAUAAACUCCUUCCUGUGAAACUAACCCUAGCACUUAGUCUGGGCAGAAAGGAAUUCUAACUCCAGUACCUUUCAACAUGCGGUUAAGAAUAUGCUAAAACUUAGACAGUCACAUACUGCAUUAUGACUUUUCAGCCAACAAUGGAUGGCAAAUAUGAUGAUUAUAAUGGAAUUGAAAAAGUACACAAUCAUGUUUUAUGAUUGUGUCUAUGACAUUACUGUACACUAUUGUAGACUUUAUAAACACUGUACACCUCACGUGUCUGUGGUGAUGCUGAUAUUAAAAACCCUACUGUCCUACCUAUGAAUGUAUAACACAUACAAUUACAUAUAGUAUAUAAUACUUGAUAAUGAUAGUAAAUGACAUGUUACUAGUUCAUGUAUUAACUAUACUAUGGUUUUUAUUGUUAUUUUACAGUAUACUCCUAUUUUUUAAAGUUAACUGUAAAACAGCCUCAGGCAGGUCCUUCAGAAAGUAUCCAGAAGAAGGCAUUGUUAUCAUAGGAGAUGACAGCUCCAUGCAUGUUAUUGACCCUGGAGACCUUCCAUUGGGACAAGAUGUGGAGGUAGAAGACAGUGAUAUUGAUGAUCCUGACCCUGUGUAGGCCUAGACUAACGUGUGUGUUCAUGUAUUUGUUUUUAACAAAAAUUUUUUUUUUAAUUUAAAAAAAUGUAAUAGAAGAAGUU
ensembl:lncRNA